rnacentral:rRNA from 1 species
GACAGAGGGGGCAAGCGUUGCUCGGAAUUACUGGGCGUAAAGCGCACGUAGGCGGAUAUUUAAGUCAGGGGUGAAAUCCCAGAGCUCAACUCUGGAACUGCCUUUGAUACUGGGUAUCUUGAGUAUGGAAGAGGUAAGUGGAAUUGCGAGUGUAGAGGUGAAAUUCGUAGAUAUUCGCAAGAACACCAGUGGCGAAGGCGGCUCACUGGCCCGGUACUGACGCUGAGGUGCGAAAGCGUGGGGAGCAAACAGG